rnacentral:rRNA from 1 species
UACGUAGGGGGCAAGCGUUGUCCGGAUUUAUUGGGCGUAAAGAGCGUGUAGGCGGCUAGGUAGGUCCGUUGUGAAAACUCGAGGCUCAACCUCGAGACGUCGAUGGAAACCAUCUAGCUAGAGUCCGGAAGAGGAGAGUGGAAUUCCUGGUGUAGCGGUGAAAUGCGCAGAUAUCAGGAAGAACACCCGGUGGCGAAGGCGGGUCUCUCGGUCGGU